GGGGAAUAUUGGACAAUGGGGGCAACCCUGAUCCAGCAAUACCGCGUGUGUGAAGAAGGCCUGCGGGUUGUAAAGCACUUUUAGGGGGGAAGAUAAUGACGUUACCCACAGAAAAAGCACCGGCUAACUCCGUGCCAGCAGCCGCGGUAAUACGGAGGGUGCAAGCGUUAAUCGGAAUUACUGGGCGUAAAGCGUGCGUAGGCGGCUCUUUAAGUCGGAUGUGAAAUCCCCGGGCUCAACCUGGGAACUGCAUCCGAUACUGGGGAGCUAGAAUGUGGGAGAGGGAAGUGGAAUUUCCGGUGUAGCGGUGAAAUGCAUAGAGAUCGGAAGGAACAUCAGUGGCGAAGGCGACUUCCUGGACCAACAUUGACGCUGAGGCACGAAAGCGUGGGUAGCAAAC
rnacentral:rRNA from 1 species